rnacentral:rRNA from 1 species
ACCUAGUGGCGCACGGGUGAGUAACGCGUAAUUGACCUACCCCGAAGUCUGGAAUAACUGGGCGAAAGUUCAGCUAAUACCGGAUACCCACAUCCCUUGUGAGGGAUGUGGAAAGAUUUAUUGCUUUGGGAUGGGGUUACGUUCCAUCAGCUGGUUGGCGGGGUAAAGGCCCACCAAGGCGACGACGGAUAGCCGGCCUGAGAGGGUGGCCGGCCACAGGGGCACUGAGACACGGCCC